CGUGUGUGGCUGCUUGCGCAGCUGCUCCGUGCCAGGCUUGGAGGACCAGGAGAAGGGGUAGUCACUUGCCACAGCUGGAGGCUGGAGCGUGUGGCACCACGGCUCGCCUCGCUGUGGUGGGUGCUGGCGACAGAGACGGCAGCUCGGCUGGACUGAUUUGCUGAGAUUUGUUUUGUGGCCUAACAUCUGAUCUACCCUGAAGACACUUCCAUGUGCUGAUGGGGAGAAUGCAUACUCUUCAACUGUUGAGUGGGAUGUUCUGUGAAUAUCUGGUAAAAAAACUGAGGCUUAGAAACAUUGAAAAAAACUUGCUCAACGUUGCAAAACAAGAAAUUUGUGACACUGGAAUUGACAUCUACAAGGGACUGAUGUAACUAAUUGCUGGAUACAUGUCCCUCAAAGACACAGAAACAGAUCUUGUAUUCUAGUGGAUCUCCGGCACCCAGUGAGGGCCUGAAACAGAGUACAUGUCCAACAAAUAAUUAUUGAAGUAAAGAUUGACAUUUCAGGAGCAGAGAUUAAUAUUCAAAAACAAAGAUGAGAAUUUUGGCAGAAAAGUCAAAAUGAGUCCAGGAAAUGUAUUUGUGGGCCAUCCUACAGAAGUUAUAAUGAAUGGAAAAACGUGAAGAACCUUCUAUUCUCCCAAGGAUAUCGUGAGGGAAUCGUCACUGUAUCUGGAAGCCAGAUGCCAAAGAUGUUCAGUUAUUAUCAAUGUAUCUAUGCAUAAAGGAUUGAAAAUGAUUCUUCAUGCCAUAAUUUAUCUAAAUAUUCAUUCCUUUGGAACACUGUUUUCCACCAAUAGUAACAAGACUUGGA
rnacentral:lncRNA from 1 species